GUGGGGAAUCUUCCGCAAUGGACGAAAGUCUGACGGAGCAACGCCGCGUGAGUGAUGAAGGUCUUCGGAUUGUAAAGCUCUGUUAAUCGGGACGAAAGAGCCUAGUGUGAAUAAUGCUAGGAAGUGACGGUACCGGAAUAGAAAGCCACGGCUAACUACGUGCCAGCAGCCGCGGUAAUACGUAGGUGGCAAGCGUUGUCCGGAAUUAUUGGGCGUAAAGCGCGCGCAGGCGGAUCUGCCAGUCUGUCUUAAAAGUUCGGGGCUUAACCCCGUGAUGGGAUGGAAACUACAGAUCUAGAGGAUCGGAGAGGAAAGUGGAAUUCCUAGUGUAGCGGUGAAAUGCGUAGAUAUUAGGAAGAACACCAGUGGCAAAGGCGACUUUCUGGACGAAAACUGACGCUGAGGCGCGAAAGCCAGGGGAGCGAACGGGAUUAGAAACCCGUGUAGUCC
rnacentral:rRNA from 1 species